UUAUCAAAAAAACAAAAAUUAGGUAUAUUUAUUAUUAUAUACAGCAUGCAGUUUAAUAUUAUCAUAUUAAAUCUGAUAUAAAGGCUUCUCUUCUCCGUUUCACACACCUUUCACAGUAAGAAAGACUAACUUGGACACUAGAGUGAAGCCAUGGAAGACGAAAAAAACCACAACACAUCUUCUUCGUCUCUCCCGUCUUUGUGUAAGAAAUUGGCGAGCUCAACUCUUGGGGGUGUUCUGUGACUGGACGUUCCCGUGGUUGAUCUAAGCGUUUCUGAUGAAGAGCUUUUGGUGCGUGAGGUGACGGAAGCGAGCCAAGAAUGGGGAGUUUUUCAGGUGGUCAACCACGGGAUUCCAACGGAGCUGAUGCAGCAGCUGCAAGUGGUUGGGAAGCAGUUUUUCGACCUCCCGGAGGCAGAAAAGGAAGCUAUGGCGAAAGGGGAGGACUUCGAAGGAUACAGGAGGAACUAUCUACAAGGUAUUGAGGCUUGGGACGAACAUCUCUUUCACAGAAUCUCCCCACCCUCAAUCGUCAAAUAUGAAUACUGGCCUAAGAAUCCUCCCCAAUACAGAAAUUAUCAAAUUUUAAUUUGAUGAUAUAUUGGGACUAUUAAUAAUCAAGUUCCUGCAGUUCAAACAGAAGCCCAGUCUUCUGCUUUUGAGUCCAAGGCCUUAGAAGAUAUGGGCUGUAAUCAGAAAAGCAAGCCCAACAAUAAUUUGUCCUCAUUCUGCAACGGUAACAUAGUGAUUACGAAGGAGCCUAGGGUAAACAUCACUACACAUACAUCAUUGAUGGGGAGCCAAGGGUAUCAAAUCUGUUAUGCAGAGAGAGUUGUUGGACUGUGAACCCCGUACGUUGAUGAGUUGGUAAGGACGUACGACUUGUCUCAGUCCCACGGUUUGUCUCGGGUGUUGUCGCAAUCAAUCUUGUUGUCGCAAUCACUCUUGUUGUCGCAAUCGCUCUGUUACCAUUGCAGAGUGAGGACAAAUUAUUGUUGGGCUUGCUUUUCUGAUUACAGCCCAUAUCUUCUAAGACCUUGGAUUCAAAAGCAGAGAAGACUAGGCUUCUGUUUGAACUGCAGGAACUUGAUUAUUAAUAGGGACGUGGCGAUUUCAGGGAAGUGAAUGAGGAGUACACAAGGCAUAUAAAGAAGCUAACAGAGAAAAUUCUUGGUUGGUUAUCAGAAGGACUAGGGUUAUCCCCCGUGGUGGUGUUGCAAAGUUUAGGUGGCGAAACGGCAGAGUAUUUGAUUAGUUACAAUUACAAUCCACCGUCUCCAAAAUCGAAAUUAGCCUUUGGAGGCGCGGCGCACACCGAUAUAGGGGCAAUCACACUCCUCAUCCCCAAUGAGGUUCCUGGACUUCAACGACGAAAAAUGAUUGGUCACACACAUUGUGUAGAUGAAAUUAUUUAGUUCGUGAUUUUCACGAAAACGAGAUACACGAUCUAGAGAAUAAAUCUUCUAGAAAAGAGUAAUUUUUUCUUUGUUUUGGCGUUAAGCUAAAAUAGUUCAAUAUCUAUUUUUAUAUAAUUUUGGUGUACCUAAAUGCACUAUAAUUCUAUGACGAUAUUACCAUUACUAGGUUUUGAA